UCUCAGGCGCUGUGAGGCAGCAGUGCUAACCACUGUGCCACCGUGCCGCCCACCAAUGUCAUAAGACAAUAGAACAAAUUGAUUGAAAAAAGUGCUCGAAAAAAAUUGCACUUUCAUUGGAGGUCUCAAAAAGCUUUACAGUACAAUAAAAUCGCGGUUGUAAUGUAGUAACUAAAAGCCAACUUGCAUGCAGCAAGUUCCUACAAACAAGGCAGUAAAAAGAAGCACAGACAAUCCGUUCGCCACGAUACUUAAAAUUGCAAGUGGGAGAAGAUGCUAGUUCUACAUCCAUCCCCCGUUGUUUGCUUUUAAAAGGAGUGCAUGCAGGAGGGAGGAAAUGAGUUGGGGCAAUGGAGCUCCAUGAUCAGGCUCCAGGUGCUUAUUCAUCCAUUCCAUGGCCCAGGUGGGUCUGCCCAAUGUCCCGGAAGUGAUUCCCGGGCAGUGCUUAGAGUCGUUGCCGCAGCGGGAUCCGUUGGCAGGCGCGAGCCGUUUCCAUAGUUCCCCUGUUUGAAAAGUGGCCUCGAGGGCUCGGUCAACGAAACGUCCCAUUCCGGGCGAAGGAGGGAUUUAAACUCACAACUCGAACCAGAGAGCGAGCAAGCGAGAAGAAGGAACAUGGAAGUUACUACUUAACACAAUGCAGCGUCGAACCCUUCCUUCAAACGGGGAAAAAAGAAGGGCAUGAGCUCCUCUCUCGGGAUAGAUAAUUGCAGAUCAGCACCAUAUAUCUAUCAGAUGCAGAAGAACACGCCAUUAUGAGUAGACGCUGUCCUUGGUCCUCGUUGAUGUCCAGUCCUUUGCCCAAGUAAACAAUCUGGAAACAUGAGGUGUGGACUAAAGAAGAGCCGUGAGCUUCGUGUAUACUGGGGUUCACACUUGGACUGUGCUGCCUGUUCUAAAAAAUGUUGAAAUUGAUUACAGUAGCGCCUCGACAUACGAACGACCCCGUUCACGAACAA